rnacentral:rRNA from 1 species
GCCAGACUCCUACGGGAGGCAGCAGUGGGGGAUAUUGCACAAUGGGGGGAACCCUGAUGCAGCGACGCCGCGUGGGUGAAGGAGCGUUUCGGCGCGUAAAGCCCUAUCGGCAGGGAAGAAGGAGGACGGUACCUGACUAAGAAGCCCCGGCUAACUACGUGCCAGCAGCCGCGGUAAUACGUAGGGGGCAAGCGUUAUCCGGAUUUACUGGGUGUAAAGGGGGCGCAGACGGCAGCGCAAGCCAGGAGUGAAAGCCCGGGGCCCAACCCCGGGACUGCUCUUGGAACUGCGCGGCUGGAGUGCAGGAGGGGCAGGCGGAAUUCCUGGUGUAGCGGUGAAAUGCGUAGAUAUCAGGAGGAACACCGGUGGCGAAGGCGGCCUGCUGGACUGCGACUGACGUUGAGGCCCGAAAGCGUGGGGAGCAAACAGGAUUAGAUACCCUAGUACUG